UUCAAGUCCUCUCAGAGUAAACCCCCUGUUCUCUUCAUGCAUCAGCCCUUCUGGCAUUGGAAGACCAGUGUCUGGCCAGCUCUGAGCCUGUUCUCUGGCACCUGCCAGUUCUUCACAGGAGUCCUCGUCGCCUUAGCGUGGAGUCCGGCCUCCACACUCCUGCCCUGCUCUGAAGGUGCCUGAGGUUCUCAGGUUGGCUCUCUGCUCCUGCCCCGAUCUGGCCCCAGUUCGGCUGGGAGGAGAGCGAGUCAGUGUCUGCAGUGCAGUGGGAGAGGAAUCAGGAGGGCUGGCUGCUUGCCAGACACAUCUCGAAAGCCUGGGAGUCAAACAAAACGAAGACGAUGGAGGUGAGACUGUUUUACUGAAUCUGCCUGGAGAGCACACGUCUCUGUGCAUCGCUCGGGAAGUCAACGAACGUGUGUGACCGGCAGUUAUCUACUGGGCGUACGGAUGACACAGGCCUCGGUCUUAUGGAGCUCAGGGUCUAGAUGGGGGCGGACCGCAGAAUGUUCAGGUCCUCAUGUCUCUAAGGCUCUGAUCCAGGACUUCCUCAUCCUGGGACAAAGAAUAGCUCCUCAUCUUGAUCUUGCAGGGAAGGGCAAAAAGGCAAAGGACUCAGGCAAUGGAUCUUGUGACCUCUGUGGGAAGUGGAAAAUCGCUUUUGCUCCUAUCUCACUGGCUAAGGCAAGUCACGUGACCAAGUCCUGUGGUGGUGGAGGUGGAGUGUGUAUUAUUUGUGCGGGGGCUCCUGCAGGACCCCUGUGGUAGGUGGGGUCGACCAUCCUCAUACAGGCGGGAGGGGUAUGGUCCACCACACUGGCCAUAAAAAUACUUUGACCCGUUUGGAAUGCCUUUUCUCUUUCAAUCCCAGAAUCCCAGGCUAGAAAACCUAUAGGAUGAAGGCCCCAUUAUUAUCAGGUAGGAACCUGAAAUCUGGAAAGUAGAAAGAACUUGAUUAUGGAUUCCUCAUAUCUCAUUUCCACCAGACUUCAUCAUAUUUAAGCAAGAACUACAAAGGUAAAUCUUGUCUUACAAGCUGCAUGGACCAGAGUGAAAGCUCCCUCCUCACCAGGGCUGCCUGGCCCAUCCUUUCUUUUUUCUAAGAUUAAUUUUUUUUUUAUUUGGGGUUGGGAGAGAGAGCUUGAACAGGAGCAGGGAGAGGGGCAGAGAGAGGGGGAGAGAAUCAGACUCUGCCCUGAGAGUGGACCCCCAUUCAGGGCUCGAUUCCAGGAACCUGAGAUCAUGACUUGAGCCAAAAUCAAGAAUCAGAUGCUUAAAUGACUGAGCCUCUCAGACACCCCUGUACCUCUCUCACUUCUUGAACAACUUUCUCUGAAGCACACAAGGAGCACACACUCAGGGACCAGGAGACAUGUGGGGACACCUACAAUGACAGCACAAUGGGACACACACGGAGUCUGGAAGCAUGAAGGGGCUGUCCUGACCUGGACGUGAGGAAGGAUUUUCUGAAGAAGGCAGUCGUCCUGGAGCAGCUGAGGUCCACAUGUGCAACGAAGGUGGAACAUCUGAGGAGUGGUGGGCAGUUCCAAAUCCUGUGAAGGGAGAAGGGUCAGCUCAUGGGGCUGGAGAAGUGGGAGGUGGGCUGGCACCAGACCCUGCAGUGUUGGGGUGGGCCAAUAGGGCACCAGUGAUGACUGAGUUUUCUUUCAGAAUCAUUCAGGGACCCUUUCUGGAGAGGACGUGUGGAGGGGUGGGCUGGGGGCUGCAGCCUGGCCUGGUACAGGCUCUGCCGUGAGAUCACCACCCCCCUCCACGCUACAAUCCUUGUACACUCAGAUUCUGAUGGAUUGUCACCAUCCCCUCCAUGCGGGCUGUGGUCCUGCCUUACACAUGAGGAAACCAAGACUCAAAGACACAAAGUGAUGUGCCCAAGGGCGCAUGUGGUAGGGGGAUGAUCACGGGAAGUCUACUUGACUUCACAUCCCUUCUUUCCAGGGCACUUGCUCCCUCUGUGGCCAUAACAAAAUACCAUGGACAAGGUGGCUAGAACUACAGGCACUCGUUUCUCCCAGUUCUGGAGGCUGGAAGGUCAAGACCAAGGUGUUGGCAGGUUUGGUUUUUUUUUAAGCUUCUUUCCUUGGCUCAUAGAUGGCCACCUUCUCCCUGUGUCCUCAGGUGGCCUCGUCUCCAUGUGCACACUCUUGAUGUCUCUUCCUCUGAUAAGGGGAUCACUCCCCUGGAAUCAGGGCUCCACCUCACGACCUUAUUUAGCUUUAAUUACCUCCCUAAAGGCUCUGUCUCCAAAUAUAGUCAUAUUGGGGGUUGGAGCUUUAACACGAAUUUUAGGGGGAUGCAUUCCAGUGCAUAACAGACAGGUAGGUGAUGGAGACUGUAGUUUACCCCUCCACCCCCGGGGGUUGGUUGUCCUCAAUUAAUACACUAUCCUCACAUCCAGUUUUUGAUCUGCCAUUAGAAAGGGGUCAUUUCACCUACCAAGGACCCUGGCACCCAGUGAGUGCUCAAAAUCUAUUUAUUGAGUGAAGGAAUGCUUCUGGCUGCACAGAGCCACCUGCCCGAGGCCCCUUUUAUGGUUCUAGUGUAUUUAGCAAGGUCACGGUGAGGCUUUGAUUUUAAAGGGUGCAGUUGUUAUUUGUUUAUUUUUGUUUAAGAUUUAUUUAUUUAUUUAUUUAUUUAUUAGAGAGAGA